rnacentral:lncRNA from 1 species
GGGGCAGCCAGGCCCCUGCCUUGUCCUGACCGGGCAUGGGACCUCCUCAUCUCUGGGGCAGGGUGGGGGCAGGUCCUAUCAAACUCAUUUUUUUAUUUUUUAUUUUUUGGGGGAUGGAGUCUUGCUCUGCCGCCCAGGCUGGAGUGCAGUGGCACCAUCUUGGCCCACUGCAAUCUCCGCCUCUCGGGUUCAAGCUAUUCUUCUGCCUCAGCCUCCCAAGUAGCUGGGGUUACAGGCACAUGCCACAGUGCCUGGCUAUCUUUUGUAUUUUUAGUAGAGACGGGGUUUCACUAUGUUGGCCAGGCUGGUCUCCAACUUCUGGCCUCAAGUGAUCCUCUGGCCUUGGCCUUCAAAAGUGCUGGGAUGACAGGCAUGAGCUAUCAUGCCCGGCCUCAACCUCAUCUUACAGAGCCUCUGAAGGCUGAGCUAGGAAUGUUGGCAUCAGCUCUGAAUGCAGGGAGGCCAAAGGUUGUAGGCUGUAGGGGAAGUGAGACGAGCUGCUUUUCAAAUAUUUUUUGGCAUCAGAAACUUGUGUUCAUGUAAAGUCUUACGUGCCAGUUUAAUGUGCAAAGCUGCUGAGAGCUCCACUGUUCUGGGUGAAAUGUGUGUUACGGGGUGGGUAGGGCUGCUGGACUCCUGUCCCCUCACUCUGCCCCUCACCCCAGGCCCAAUUCCCUUCCGGGGACAUUGGCAAAACACAGUUUGAAACCUCCCUUGGAAACCACAUCUUUUUUUUUUUUUGAGACGGAGUCUGGCUCUGUCGCCCAGGCUGGAGUGCAGNNNNNNNNNNNNNNNNNNNNNNNNNNNGCGCCGCCUCCCGGGUCCACGCCAUUCUCCUGCCUCAGCCUCCCAAGUAGCUGGGACUACAGGCACCCGCCACCAUGCCCGGCUAAUUUUUGUGUAUUUUUAGUAGAGACGGGGUUUCACGGUGUUAGCCAGGAUGGUUUCGAUCUCCUGACCUCGUGAUCCGCCCACCUCAGCCUCCCAAAGUGCUGGGAUUACAGGCGUGAGCCACCACGCCUGGCCGGAAACCACAUCUUUAAAGGGAAGUAAAAUGAUUCGCCCAAGGCCGUGGGGUGGAGGAGGGUUGGGCAGCCCCAUAAGUGAGCAACGUCCUGAACAGCAGGUCUCAGCACACACGAAUCUGUCACUCUGGGCCAUCCCUGAAAUGUGUCAGGGGAUGGAGAUUCAGUAAAGAAUACAAUAAAGAACAUAUUAAAACUUCUAAAGUUUCUUUGAACCAGGACAAAACUCUAGCAUUCUGGAGCAGCAUUCAGUCUCAUAUCUACUGAAAAAUCCUAAUGUUGUACAUUGCCAUUAGAAUUGGUCAUAAUGCAUCAGGGCCUCACCCUCUGUAAUGUGCUGGCUACCUGCAUCGUGACUGACGCUUUAUUUAGUCA